CUUGGUCAUUUAGAGGAAGUAAAAGUCGUAACAAGGUCUCCGUUGGUGAACCAGCGGAGGGAUCAUUACCGAGUUUACAACUCCCAAACCCCUGUGAACAUACCUUACUGUUGCCUCGGCGGAUCAGCCCGCUCCCGGUAAAACGGGACGGCCCGCCAGAGGACCCCUAAACUCUGUUUCUAUAUGUAACUUCUGAGUAAAACCAUAAAUAAAUCAAAACUUUCAACAACGGAUCUCUUGGUUCUGGCAUCGAUGAAGAACGCAGCAAAAUGCGAUAAGUAAUGUGAAUUGCAGAAUUCAGUGAAUCAUCGAAUCUUUGAACGCACAUUGCGCCCGCCAGUAUUCUGGCGGGCAUGCCUGUUCGAGCGUCAUUUCAACCCUCAAGCCCUCGGGUUUGGUGUUGGGGAUCGGCGAGCCUUUCUGGCAAGCCGGCCCCGAAAUCUAGUGGCGGUCUCGCUGCAGCCUCCAUUGCGUAGUAGUAAAACCCUCGCAACUGGAACGCGGUGCGGCCAAGCCGUUAAACCCCCAACUUCUGAAUGUUGACCUCGGAUCAGGUAGGAAUACCCGCUGAACUUAAGCAUAUCAAUAAGCGGAGGGAAAGAAACCAACAGGGAUUGCCCUAGUAACGGCGAGUGAAGCGGCAACAGCUCAAAUUUGAAAUCUGGCUCUCGGGCCCGAGUUGUAAUUUGUAGAGGAUGCUUUUGAUGCGGUGCCUUCCGAGUUCCCUGGAACGGGACGCCAUAGAGGGUGAGAGCCCCGUCUGGUUGGAUGCCAAAUCUCUGUAAAGCUCCUUCAACGAGUCGAGUUGUUUGGGAAU
rnacentral:sRNA from 1 species